UGCCAGCAGCCGCGGUAAUACAGAGAGUGCAAGCGUUAAUCGGAAUUACUGGGCGUAAAGAGCACGUAGGCGGAUUUUUAAGUUGGAUGUGAAAGCCCUGGGCUUAACCUGGGAACUGCAUCCAAAACUGGAAGUCUAGAGUAUAGUAGAGGGAAGUGGAAUUUCUGGUGUAGCGGUGAAAUGCGUAGAUAUCAGAAAGAACACCAGUGGCGAAGGCGGCUUCCUGGACUAAUACUGACGCUGAGGUGCGAAAGCGUGGGGAGCAAACAGGAUUAGAUA
rnacentral:rRNA from 1 species